rnacentral:sRNA from 1 species
CGGGUGAAGCCGUUGGCGGUAGCCAAUCUGCACCGAUUCGUGCAGACCGCCCUGCUGGCGUCAGAGCAGUAACGAUGACGCGCCCG